AUUGAACGCUGGCGGAAUGCUUUACACAUGCAAGUCGAACGGUAGAGGGGGCAACCCCUCGAGAGUGGCGAACGGGUGAGUAAUAUAUCGGAACGUGCCCAGUCGUGGGGGAUAACGUAGCGAAAGUUACGCUAAUACCGCGUACGAUCUAAGGAUGAAAGCGGGGGAUCGCAAGACCUCGCGCGAUUGGAGCGGCCGAUAUCAGAUUAGGUAGUUGGUGGGGUAAAGGCUCACCAAGCCAACGAUCUGUAGCUGGUCUGAGAGGACGACCAGCCAUACUGGAACUGAGACACGGUCCAGACUCCUACGGGAGGCAGCAGUGGGGAAUUUUGGACAAUGGACGCAAGUCUGAUCCAGCCAUUCCGCGUGCAGGAUGAAGGCCCUCGGGUUGUAAACUGCUUUUGUACGGAACGAAAAGGUCUCUCUUAAUACGGGGGGCUCAUGACGGUACCGUAAGAAUAGGCACCGGCUAACUACGUGCCAGCCGCCGCUGUAA
rnacentral:rRNA from 1 species